rnacentral:rRNA from 1 species
GAUGAACGCUGGCGGCGUGCUUAACACAUGCAAGUCGAGCGGGCAAUUUAUCUAGCACUGAUUACUUCAAAUGGCUAUCGCCAGUGUAAUCAUGAAUUUCUACCUUAUAAUAAAGAAAAAAGAAAUUCAUGUACGCAAAUAGUGAUAACACAUGAAAGAGGAGUGAUGAGUGCUGGAUAAAUUGCUAGCGGCGGACGGGUGCGUAACACGUGGGUAACCUGCCCCUAUCACUGGGAUAACACACUGAAAAGUGUGCUAAUACCAGAUAAUAUAAGCUUUUGGUCAUCAUUAGCUUAUCAAAGAAUUUCGGAUAGGGAUGGGCCCGCGUCUGAUUAGCUAGUUGGUGAGGUAACGGCUCACCAAGGCAACGAUCAGUAGCCGACCUGAGAGGGUGAUCGGCCACACUGGAACUGAGACACGGUCCAGACUCCUACGGGAGGCAGCAGUGGGGAAUA